UGGAAGAGAGAGAAGGUUUCU
rnacentral:snRNA from 1 species